rnacentral:rRNA from 1 species
AUGCACUGGUUUUCUUGGUGGAAAUUAUGCAUUCCAAAAUGUGAUGGUGGUAUGGGAUUCAGGGAUCUACACUCCUUUAAUUUGGCUUUAUUAGCUAAGCAAUGUUGGAGACUGAUUACAAAUCCAGAAUCUAUUUGUUCCCAAAUCUUGAAGGCCAAAUACUUCCCAUCCACUGAUUUACUCUCUGCAGGCCCCAAAAAAGUAUCUUCUUUUACAUGGCAGAGUAUCAUUGCGGGUCUUGCCACUUUUAAGCGUGGCUGUAUUUGGCGAAUUGGUUCCGGAGAGAAGGUGAAUAUAUGGAACAAUCCAUGGGUUCCUGCAAGUCCGGACAGGAAGAUUUUAACUCCUCGGGGACACACCGUGAUAUCUAAGGUGGUGGAGCUAAUUGAUCCAGUUACAGGACAGUGGGAUGACGACUUGAUCAGAGACAUCUUUAACCAUGUGGAUGUAACAAGGAUUCUACAGAUUCCGAUAAAUUUUCAAGCCUUUGAUGAUUUUGUUGCUUGGCAUCUUACGAGUUCAGGGAUUUUUUCAGUGAGGACUGCUUACCACGAGCAAUGGUCACAUAAAUACAGAGGCAAAGUAGGAGAUAAUCUCACAUCCAGUAGUCAGGAAUCAGCAAUAUGGAAUCACCUUUGGGAGUUGCAAGUUCCACGAAAAGUACAGAUUUCUUGUUGGAGAGCGCUUCGGGGAAUUGUCCCUCUGAAAUCAAUAUUAUCAAAUAAACACUUGCCUGUGAGUGGUGUAUGUCCGGUUUGCAAGAAUGGCCCUGAAGAUGUGAGACACCUACUCUUUCAAUGCGUACUUGCCAAGAGAUUGUGGACUGAUCUGGGCCUUAUUGAUAAGGUAAACAGUGCUUUA